rnacentral:lncRNA from 1 species
UCGAGCCACUGCACUCCAGCCUGGCGACAGAGUGAGACUCCGUCUCAAAAAAAAAAAAAAGUCACAAUUAUUUAUCAUAUUUAUUACCUCAAAUAAUUAUUAUUUUCUUUGCUUUUUGGGGGGUGAGAACAUGUAGAUCUACUCUUUUACCAAAUUUCAAGUAUACAAUGUUGUAUAUUGUUAACUAUAUUCACACUGCCAUACAUUAGAUUUUCAGAACUUACUGAUUUUGCAAACUGAAUCUUUGCAUACCCUGACCUAUAUCACAAAGAGAAUUUUGAAAGCAGCAAGAGAAAAACAUCUUGUCCCAUAUAAGGGAGGCUGCGUAAGACUAUCAAUGGAUUUCUCAAAAGAAUCUUGCAGAUCAAGAAACAGUGGGAUGAUUCAAUGUACUGGAAGAAAGAGAAAGACCAAAAGGAAUACUUUACCCCAGAAAAGCUGUCCUUUAAGAAUAAAGGAUGGGCUGGGCCAGGUGGCUCACGCCUGUAAUCCCAGCACUUUGGGAGGCUGAGGCAGGCAGAUCACCUGAGGUCAGGAGUUCAAGACCAGCCUGGCCAACAUGGCAAAACCCUGUCUCUACUAAAAAUACAAAAAUUAGCCAAUGUGAUAUAGGGUGCCUGUAAUCCCAGCUACUCAGGAGGCUGAGGCAGGAGAAUUGCUUGAACCCAGGAGGUAGAGGUUGCAGUGAGCCGAGGCCAUGCCAUUGUACUCCAGCCUGGGCAACAAGAGUAAAACACUGUCCCAGAAAAAAAAAAAAAAAAGAAUAAAGAACAAUGCUGCCAUCUGAUCUUUUCAGCUGUGGCCUGGCACCCUUCUGAGAGCCCGGCUCCCAGAUACUUGCAGUCUGCCCUGGCACUGCUGUCACUUUAGCAUUCUGCAGUUGCCUGAGCAUUCUUCCUGCCCCUGCCUAAGUUUUCUGCCAGCUGUGUGGGGGCCAGCCUGCCCCUCUCUAUCACAGCCAGCACCUGAACCCUGGGUACCUGAGGACACAUAUGCCAGCCUGCUUCUGAUCCAGUCCCUCCAGUACUUAUGCAUGCCAUCCAGAGCACCAUAUAGGGAUCUGAGAAUCAAGAAAAUGGCUAGCCCAGUACACCAUUGGCACAUGAUCGCUCUCUCUGGAGACUAAGGCUGUGCUGACCCAGCUAGCCAACACUGCAACAGCUGAAAUCCACCCUCAUGUGCUGAAAGGUGAAGCUGCUUCCCCUUUGUACACAAAGGAGCAGCGUUCCUGCAUGAGAGAACAGGCAAGCCACAGGGCUGUCUGUAUUGGCCUGAGGGAAGAGGUCCUACCCUGAGGUUGCUCCUGUGAAGAGCCACAAGACAGGCAUUUUCAAUGGCUCUUGGCUACGUUAUGACCUAGAGAUAGAUGACUGGGUCUGUAUGAACUGAGAGUCAUGAACUCUGGGACAGGGGUAGGAUAGGGAAACACAUCAUGUUCCUACCUACACAGGAGGUAGAGCUGGUACAGCUCCUCCCUCCCUACAGAGACCUGUGAGCAUUUCACCAGGAGCUGCACCAGCCACCCUCUAAAGGCUACUGUUCACGUUCAUCAUUGAGAUGUUGGUGGGUAAGCUUUGUGGUCCAGCUCUGCCCAGCUGUGUCUUCCCCUCUGGGCUGAACAGGCAACUCAGAGUCUAGGCAUUACAUAGACCAGCCUAUCACCUGAAACAACAGACAGGAAAUCACAGUAAACAAAGAUCAAACACACACCAUCUGCUUCUGCCAUAGCUGGCUCUUACUCAUAAGUGCCACUUACUGGCAUGGAGGUUAAACUACACAAAUCAAUAAAAAGUCUACUGACAGAAGGGCACAGGGCUAAAGAAACAAAGCCAAAGCCCCCUACCCAAUAUAUGCUGUAGUUACACCCACAAGGAGGAAAAACCCCAUCUAAAUUAAAGUAAAUUCAAAAAUAAGAAGUGACAACUUUCCCAGAUGAGAAGAAACCAUCAUAAGAAGUUUGGCAUCAUGAAGAAAAAAAAAAAAGCAGAAUGUUUUGACACUACCAAAGGACACACUAGCUCUCUCGCAAUGGAUCCUAACCAAAAUGAAAAUUCUGAAAUGAAAGAUAAUGAAUUCAAAAUAUGGAUUAUAAGGAAGUUCAAUGAGAUCCAAGACAAAGCUGAAAAUCAACACAAAGAUACCAGAACAAUGCAGAAUGUGAAUGAAGUACAGAUAUCUUAAAAAAAAAACAAUUGAAUUUCUAGAAAUGAAAAACACACUGAAGGGUUGGGUUACAGAUGAAAGCUUUUUUUUUUUUUUUUUCUUUUUGAGACAGAGUCUUGCUCUGUCGCCCAGGCUGCAGUGCAGUGGCGCCAUCUCAGCUCACUGCAAGCUCCACCUCCCGGGUUCACACCAUUCUCCUGCCUCAGCCUCCUGAGUAGCUGGGACUACAGGCACCCACUACCACGCCCGGCUAAUUUUUUGUAUUUUUAGUAGAGGUGGGGUUUCACCGUGUUAGCCAGGAUGGUCUCGAUCUCCUGACCUCGUGAUCCGCCCAUCUCGGCCUCCCAAAGUGCUGGGAUUACAGGCGUGAGCCACUGCACCCGGCCAGAUGAAAGCUUUAACAAUAGGCUAGACUAAGCAGAAGACAGACAGAAAAUAGGAUCCCAGUGCCUUUUGGCUUGUAAACUUUCUUCUGAGAAGUCGGCUGUUAGUCUAAUGUGAUUUCCUUUAUAGGUGAUUUGAAAAUUGUCUCUUGCUUCUUUCAGAGUAUUUUCCUUCAAGUUGCCUUUGGAUAGUCUGGUGAAGUUCAUCUUGCAAAAUAUUUUCAGAUACACAGACAAGGCUGGGCGCAGUGGUUCACGCUUUGGGAGGCUGAGGCGGGCAGAUCACUCGAGGUCAGGAGUUCAAGACCAGCCUGGCCAACAUGGCAAGACUCCGUCUCUAUUAAAAAUACAAAAAUUAGGCCGAGCACAGUGGCUCACGCCUGUAAUCUCAGCAUUUUGAGAGGCUGAGGUGGGUGGAUCACCCGAGGUCGGGAGUUCGAGACCAGCUUGACCAACAUGGAGAAACCCCAUCUCCACUAAAAAUACAAAAUUAGCCAGGCAUGGUGGCACAUGCCUGUAAUCUCAUCUACUCAGAAGGCUGAGGCAGGAGAAUCGCUUGAACCCAGGAGGUGGAGGUUGCAGUGAGCCCAGAUCACGCCAUUGCACUCUGGCCUGGGCAACAAGAAUGAAACUCCGCCAAAAAAAAAAAAAAAAAAAAAAAUUAGCCGGGCAUGGUGGCACAGGCCUGUCAGGCCUAUAGUCCCAGCUACUUGGGAGGCUGAGGCCAGAGAAUCACUUGAACCCAGGAGGCAGAGGUUGCAGUGAGCCAAGAUUGUGCCACUGCACUCCAGCCUGGGAGACAGUAAGACUCCAUCUCAAAAUAAAAUAAAAUAAAAUAGAUACACAGAUACUUACCAUUGUGUUAUAAUUCUACAGUAUUCCGUACAGUACCAUGCUGUCCAGGUUUGUAGCCUAGGAGCAAUAGGCCAUACCAUAAAAGGCUAUAGCCUAGAUGUGUAGUAGGCUAUAUCAUGUAGGUAUGUGUAGAUACACUCUAAGAUGUUUGCAUAAUGAUGAAAUCACCUAAAGAUAUGUAACUACACUUGCAUGCAAGUGCCUUCAAGAUGUCUUAUUAUCUCAAAAUUAAUAUUACAUCAUGAAAGGUUGAGACCAGGAACAAUGGCUCAUGCCUGUAAUCCCAACAACUCUGGGAGGGCAAGGUGGGUGGAUCACUUGAGCCAGAAGUUCAAGUUCAGCCUGGGCAACAUAGUGACACCCUGUCUCUACAAAAAAUACAAAAAUUAGCCAAUCUUGGUAGCACACUCCUGUCCCAGUUGCUCGGAUGGCUAAGGUGGGAAGAUUGCUUGAGCCCAGGAGGUUGAGGCUGCAGUGAGCUAUGAUGACGCCACUGCACUCUAGCCUGGGUGACAGAGCAAGACCCUGCCUCAAAUACAAAAAAAAAAAAAGAAAAAGAAGGCUGGGCACGGUGGCUCACACCUGUAAUCCCAGCACUCUGGGAGGCCAAGGCGGGAGGAUCACGAGGUCAGGAGAUCG